AAGUCGUAACAAGGUUUCCGUAGGUGAACCUGCGGAAGGAUCAUUAAAGAUUCGGGUCGCGAGAUCCAUCUUUUCUCCAGCUGUGCGCUUCGGCUGCACGCUGUUGAAAUCCAACCUUCACACCUGUGAACCUCUCGGGGGCGCUCUGCGCUUCCGCUUUACAUGUAACAACUUAAGUUUAGAAUGUUUUAAUACUAUAAAGUAACAACUUUCAACAACGGAUCUCUUGGCUCUC
rnacentral:misc_RNA from 1 species